rnacentral:rRNA from 1 species
AUUGAACGCUGGCGGCAUGCCUUACACAUGCAAGUCGAACGGUAACAGGUUAAGCUGACGAGUGGCGAACGGGUGAGUAAUGUAUCGGAACGUGCCCAGUCGGGGGGGAUAACUACUCGAAAGAGUGGCUAAUACCGCAUACGACCUGAGGGUGAAAGCGGGGGACCGUAAGGCCCCGCGCGAUUGGAGCGGCCGAUAUCAGAGUAGCUAGUUGGUGGGGUAAAAGCCCAACAAGGCGACGAUCUGUAGCUGGUCUGAGAGGACGACCAGCCACACUGGGACUGAGACACGGCCCAGACUCCUACGGGAGGCAGCAGUGGGGAAUUUUGGACAAUGGACGCAAGCCUGAUCCAGCCAUGCCGCGUGCGGGAAGAAGGCCUUCGGGUUGUAAACCGCUUUUGUCAGGGAAGAAACGAGUUUCUCUAAUACAGAGACUUAAUGACGGUACCUGAAGAAUAAGCACCGGCUAACUACGUGCCAGCAGCCGCAGUAAGAC